UGGUUUGGUACAGUACUCUAAAGGCACAGGAUCCCAUCCAAACUUGGAAGCUAAGUAGGGCCAGCCUGGUUAGUACUUGAAUGGGAGACACCCAAUGAAGACCAGCUGCUGUAUUUU
rnacentral:rRNA from 1 species